CCGCUGCAGACGCCGAGCUCGCCAUGGCACUGAUCGGCGUGGCUGCAGCCGCCCUCCCUUCUGCUUCUUCCGGAAACGCAGAGAAGCAGCCACCCUCCCUCCACCCAGCCAGUUGGUCUGGAGCAUCCUCAAUGCCUCCUCGGUGCCCCAGGCAACCUGUGUAGACAACCUACUAUUUAUCUGUUAUGGACUGGAUAUUUGAGUUUCCCCAAACUCUUAUGUUGAGGUCCUACCUCCCAGAGUGCUGGGAUAGGGAGGCGGGGCCUCUGGGAGGUACUGAGGGUAGAGCCCCCAUGGUGGGAUUAGUGGCUUUCUAAGAAGAGGAACAGAGGUCGUGGUAAUGUCCUCUCCUGGACCCCUGAAGAUAAAGGCGGCCAUCUGCAAGACGCGAAAAGUGCCUUUACCAAGAACGAGAUCUACUGACACCUUGAACUGGGACGUCAGCCUCCAGAACUGUCGGAAAUAAAUGUCUGUUGAUGAAAACCA